AGUCGAGCGCCCCGCAAGGGGAGCGGCAGACGGGUGAGUAACGCGUGGGAAUCUACCUAGCUCUACGGAAUAACCCAGGGAAACUUGGACUAAUACCGUAUACGUCCUUCGGGAGAAAGAUUUAUCGGAGUUGGAUGACCCCGCGUUGGAUUAGCUAGUUGGUGGGGUAAUGGCCUACCAAGGCGACGAUCCAUAGCUGGUCUGACAGGAUGAUCAGCCACACUGGGACUGAGACACGGCCCACACUCCUACGGGAGGCAGCAGUGGGGAAUAUUGGACAAUGGGCGAAAGCCUGAUCCAGCCAUGCCGCGUGAGUGAUGAAGGCCCUAGGGUUGUAAAGCUCUUUCAACGGUGAAGAUAAUGACGGUAACCGUAGAAUAAGCCCCGGCUAACUUCGUGCCACCAGCCGCGGUAAUACGAAGGGGGCUAGCGUUGUUCGGAAUUACUGGGCGUAAAGCGCACGUAGGCGGACUAUUAAGUCAGGGGUGAAAUCCCGGGGCUCAACCCCGGAACUGCCUUUGAUACUGGUAGUCUAGAGUCCGAGAGAGGUGAGUGGAAUUCCCAGUGUACAGGUGAAAUUCGUAGAUAUUCGGAGGAACACCAGUGGCGAAGGCGGCUCACUGGCUCGGUACUGACGCUGAGGUGCGAAAGCGUGGGGAGCAAACAGGAUUACAUACCCUGGUAGUCCACG
rnacentral:rRNA from 1 species